rnacentral:rRNA from 1 species
GCAGAGAACUUUCCAGAGAUGGAUGGUGCCUUCGGGAACGUCUGACACAGGUGCUGCAUGGCUGUCGUCAGCUCGUGUCGUGGGAUGUUGGGUUAAGUCCCGUAACGAGCGCAACCCUUGUCCUUAGUUACCAGCACGUUAUGGUGGGCACUCUAAGGAGACUGCCGGUGACAAACCGGAGGAAGGUGGGGAUGACGUCAAGUCAUCAUGGCCCUUACGGCCUGGGCUACACACGUGCUACAAUGGUCGGUACAAAGGGUUGCCAAGCCGCGAGGUGGAGCUAAUCCCAUAAAACCGAUCGUAGUCCGGAUCGCAGUCUGCAACUCGACUGCGUGAAGUCGGAAUCGCUAGUAAUCGUGAAUCAGAAUGUCACGGUGAAUACGUUCCCGGGCCUU